rnacentral:lncRNA from 1 species
UAUUUUUUAUGGAAAAUAAGAGACCGAGGAAGCUUCGGAAGGGGGGAGGCUAGAAGGUGUGUAAGGGGGGCACAAGCACAAGGGGCGUGUCCCCUAGGGCCUGCCAUCUAAGCUUGCGGGCCCCUUGAGAUUCCCUCUAGCGUGAAUUCAAUGCUAAAAAUUCCUGUAUAUCUAGAAGCUCCAAAAAGUUAACCCAGAUGAGUUUUCCGCCACUUCAAGCCUCUGUUCCAAAGCGAUCUCAUGUUGAGGCCUUCUUUGGCACCCUGUCGGAGGGGGAAAGCCAUCACCGGAGGCCAUCUUCAUCAUCCCCGCUGACUCCAUCACGAGGAGGGAGUAGAUCACCGAUGAGUGACAUUUUUAACUCAUUUUACCCUUGUUUAAACCAAGAUAUUUCACUAAAAGAGAGAUGCUCUAAUAUUUACACGAUGACUAAUGAAUGCAAAGAAUUCCGCAAAUCCUCUGUUUAAUGUUUUUCCAUAGGAAAUGGGCUAAAAAGGGAAAAAUCACUUGGAGGAAUGGAAAGGAAGGAAAAUGGAGAAAGAAAGUAUCAACGAGAGGCGCCAGAAUGGAGCGAGAGAAAGAGACAUCGUUCCAUACGAGCGUGUGUGCCCGUAUGAGUGGUGUGUGGCGUGGAUUCCGAGGCGACUCGUCUACCCGAACAACUUUUAUAAAGGUACCCCGUCGAAAUGUCAACAUAGCAGCGUCGAGCACAACCAGAACCUCUUCAUCAUCUUCAUCACCCACAAACCCUAGCCACCGCCAUUUCCAUCCCCAUAGUGUUGGAAACAUGCCCUAGAUACAAUAAUAAAAUAGUUAUUAUUAUAUUUCUCUCUUCAAAAUAAUCAUUUAUUAUCCAUGCUAGAAUUGUAUUGAAUGGAAAAUUGGAUACAUG